rnacentral:rRNA from 1 species
AGAGUUUGAUUAUGGCUCAGAACGAACGCUGGCGGCAUGCCUCAUACAUGCAAGUCGAACGAAGUCCUCGGACUUAGUGGCGCACGGGUGAGUAACAUGUGGGAAUCUACCUGAAGGUUCGGAAUAACUGCGGGAAACUGUAGCUAAUACCGGAUGUGUCUGCAAAGAGAAAGAUUUAUCGCCUUCAGAUGAGCCCGCACUAGAUUAGCUAGUUGGUGAGGUAACUGCUCCACCAAGGCUACGAUCUAUAGCUGAUUUGAGAGGAUGAUCAGCCACACUGGGACUGAGACACGGCCCAGACUCCUACGGGAGGCAGCAGUAGGGAAUAUUGGACAAUGGGGGAAACCCUGAUCCAGCAAUGCCGCGUGAGUGAAGAAGGCCUUAGGGUUGUAAAACUCUUUCAUCAAUGAUGAUAAUGACAUUAGUUGAAGAAGAAGCUCCGGCUAACUUCGUGCCAGCAGCCGCGGUAAUACGAAGGGGGCUAGCGUUGUUCGGAAUCACUGGGCGUAAAGCGUAUGUAGGCGGAUCAAAAAGUUAGAUGUGAAAUCCCUAGGCUCAACCUAGGAACUGCAUUUAAAACUAGUGAUCUAGAAAUUGGGAGAGGUUAGUAGAAUUUCCAGUGUAGAGGUGAAAUUCGUAGAUAUUGGAAAGAAUACCAGAGGCGAAGGCGACUAACUAGACCAUUUUUGACGCUGAGAUACGAAAGCGUGGGUAGCAAACAGGAUUAGAUACCCUGGUAGUCCACGCAGUAAACGAUGAGUGCUAGUCGCUGGGACAAUAGUUUCAGUGUCGAAGCUAACGCAUUAAGCACUCCGCCUGGGAAGUACGGUCGCAAGAUUAAAACUCAAAU